UGGUACUUGCGGAAGGAUCAUUG
rnacentral:rRNA from 1 species